UAAAUUCAACCUAAUUCAAACUUGUAUUUUAUAUAUAUAUAUAUAUAUAUAGUUGAGCUAGAAUACUAUCGAUAGCAAACGGGCUCCGUUGCCAUCCAUUUGUUUUCGAUGAUGGAGCCUCCAAAUCGACGAUCGGUAUCGUUGAACGUGAUCUAUACCACUUAAAGUACUUAGAAAUCAAAUUUCAAAUCUUUUCAACAUCAUUUGCCUAAUGAUCAAAGGGUUUCAAAAUUUGUAAUUUUAAUGGUCAAUAUGAGGCGUUUUCUCGUUUAACGGUGUAAAGAUAUCCAAAUCAAUUGAAUUUUUGUUAGAAAAUUCUUUAAACUAUUUAAAACAAGAUCUAUACUCUUGAUCUUGACUACAAGAGUCCUAUCAUCAUUUUUUAAAGAAUAUUCAUUUUCAGCCGUUCAUUUUUUAGUCCACUCGAUGGAUAAGAGAAUAAUAUCGAAAAUGUAUGAAAUUUGAUUU
rnacentral:lncRNA from 1 species